CGCGGAUUAGAGCAGCGGCAGCUCGGGAGUCUCAUAAGCUCCAGGUCACCGGUUCGAAUCCGGUAUCCGCUUCCA
rnacentral:tRNA from 1 species